UACGUAGGGGGGGCGAGCGUUUGUCCCGGAGUACUGGGCGUAAAGCGCACGCAGGCGGUUUUCGUACGUCUGGAGUGACAGUUCCCCGGCUCAACUGGGGAAAGGUCUUUCGGAAACGGCGAGAACUUGAGGGGCUUCAGAGGGACACGGAAUUCCGGGUGGAGUGGUGAAAUGCGUAGAGAUCCGGAGGAACACCAAAUGGCGAAGGCAG
rnacentral:rRNA from 1 species